CUGUAACGUGUCCAGGUGGGUGUGUGGCACUCUUCCCCAUGUGAACCAGCAGGAUGGAGUGUCAUGUGGUGUUUUUGUGUUAAAGUUUGCUGAGUGUAUUUUGGAAGGAAAACCUCUUCAGUUUGACAACAGCACGACAGCAAUGAACACCGUGAGGUUCCAGAUUGCAACCACUCUCCUCAAAGAAUCUGAAACACUCAAGAACCUCUGCCAUCACUGUGGCUUCCAAGACACUGACGAUCCACAGUGGAUUGCUUGUGACAACUGCGGCAGAUGGUACCACCAUGGCUGUGUCAAAAGUCCCCCACUACAAAAAGAGUACUUUUGUGAUGUCUGUGUGUCAUUUCUUUUUUAGUUUCAGGUCCAAGGGACCAAUUCCACAUUCAAAGAAAAAAAAGAAAGAAAAGGUGUCGUACAGAGUUUUUUUUUAAAUGAAGCUUAUGUAAGGUUAAGGAAAAGACAUGCCAAACACCUAUUUAUUGAAAAGGUUUUAUAUAGGCUGUAUUACCCUAAUUACAUAUAGACACACAAUAUUUUGCGUAAAGAGGAACUCUUGAAAAUUCUCCCCCGUAUCUUUCAAGUUUAAAAAUUCAGGUGUUGUUGUAAAGUUUGAAAGAGACAAAUAGGUGAAAUA